CCUACGGGAGGCAGCAGUGGGGAAUCUUGCGCAAUGGGCGAAAGCCUGACGCAGCAACGCCGCGUGCGGGAAGAAGGCUUUCGGGCUGUAAACCGCUUUCAGCAGGAACGAAAAUGACGGUACCUGCAGAAGAAGGAGCGGCCAACUAUGUGCCAGCAGCCGCGGUGAUACAUAGGCUUCAAGCGUUGUCCGGAUUUAUUGGGCGUAAAGAGUUCGUAGGCGGUCGAGUAAGUCGGGUGUGAAAAUUCUGGGCUCAACCCAGAGACGCCACCCGAUACUGCUUGACUUGAGUUCGAUAGGGGAGUGGGGAAUUCCUAGUGUAGCGGUGAAAUGCGCAGAUAUUAGGAGGAACACCGGUGGCGAAGGCGCCACUCUGGAUCGAUACUGACGCUGAGGAACGAAAGCAUGGGUAGCAAACAGGAUUAGAUACCCUGGUAGUCCAUGCCGUAAACGGUGGGCACUAGGUGUGGGUUUCUAUUAACGAAAUCCGCGCCGUCGCUAACGCAUUAAGUGCCCCGCCUGGGGAGUACGGUCGCAAGACUAAAACUCAAAUGAAUUGA
rnacentral:rRNA from 1 species